AACGAACGCUGGCGGCAUGCCUAACACAUGCCAGUCGAACGAGACCUUCGGGUCUAGUGGCGCACGGGUGCGUAACGCGUGGGAACCUGCCCUUAGGUUCGGAAUAACUCCCCGAAAGGGGUGCUAAUACCGGAUAAUGUCUUCGGACCAAAGAUUUAUCGCCUUUGGAUGGGCCCGCGUUGGAUUAGCUAGUUGGUAGGGUAAAAGCCUACCAAGGCGACGAUCCAUAGCUGGUCUGAGAGGAUGAUCAGCCACACUGGGACUGAGACACGGCCCAGACUCGUACGGGAGGCAGCAGUGGGGAAUAGUGGACAAUGGGCGAAAGCCUGAUCCAGCAAUGCCGCGUGAGUGAUGAAGGCCUUAGGGUUGUAAAGCUCUUUUACCCGGGAUGAUAAUGACAGUACCGGGAGAAUAAGCACCGGCUAACUCCGUG
rnacentral:rRNA from 1 species